UACGUAGGGUCGAAGCGUUAAUCGGAAUUACUGGGCGUAAAGCGUGCGCAGGCGGUUGUGCAAGACCGAUGUGAAAUCCCCGAGCUUAACUUGGGAAUUGCAUUGGUGACUGCACGGCUAGAGUGUGUCAGAGGGGGGUAGAAUUCCACGUGUAGCAGUGAAAUGCGUAGAGAUGUGGAGGAAUACCGAUGGCGAAGGCAGCCCCCUGGGAUAACACUGACGCUCAUGCACGAAAGCGUGGGGAGCAAACAGG
rnacentral:rRNA from 1 species